GAUCUCAAAUCAGGUAAGAAUACC
rnacentral:rRNA from 1 species